AGAGUUUGAUCCUGGCUCAGAACGAACGCUGGCGGCGCGCCUAAUACACGCAAGUCGAGCGAGAAGACGUAGCAAUACGUUUGUAAAGCGGCGAACGGGUGAGGAAUACAUGGGUAACCUACCCUCGAGUGGGGAAUAACUGGCCGAAAGGUUAGCUAAUACCGCAUACGACUCUUGGUCUGCGGAUCAAGAGAGAAAGCGAUACCGUGGGUAUCGCGCUCCUGGAUGGGCUCAUGUCCUAUCAGCUUGUUGGUGAGGUAACGGCUCACCAAGGCUUCGACGGGUAGCUGGUCUGAGAGGACGAUCAGCCACACUGGCACUGCGACACGGGCCAGACUCCUACGGGAGGCAGCAGUAAGGAAUAUUGCGCAAUGGGCGACAGCCUGACGCAGCGACGCCGCGUGGGGGAUGAAGGUCUUCGGAUUGUAAACCCCUUUCGGCAGGGAAGAUGGAACGGGUAACCGUUCGGACGGUACCUGCAGAAGCAGCCACGGCUAACUUCGUGCCAGCAGCCGCGGUAAUACGAAGGUGGCAAGCGUUGUUCGGAUUUACUGGGCGUACAGGGAGCGUAGGCGGUUGGGUAAGCCCUUCGUGAAAUCUCCGGGCCUAACCCGGAAAGUGCGGAGGGGACUGCUCGGCUAGAGGAUGGGAGAGGAGCGCGGAAUUCCCGGUGUAGCGGUGAAAUGCGUAGAGAUCGGGAGGAAGGCC
rnacentral:rRNA from 1 species